rnacentral:misc_RNA from 1 species
GGAAAGUGUAUGUAGAUAUAUAAAUAAAUGUAUGUGUAUGUACAUAUAAGGUGUUCAAAAUGUAUUUUAAAAAUAAAAAAUGUUUUAAAGUGUUUUUGUGGGCAGAAGGAACUUCUGCAGCCGAAGCAUGGACUUUCAACAGCCGAAAUCCCUUUUUACUAUUUAAAAUCCUCUUUGGACAGAAUGGACUCCGGCAGCAGGAAUUAUGACUUCUGGCAGCCGAAAGUCCCUCGACAGUGAGGGUGUAAGGGGCUAACAGCCUUUUUUUCUGCCAAAAAAGAACUCAAACUCUCUUUUCUCUCUCUCUUCAAGCUUUGAUGACAUGCAAGGUUGAGUUUGAAGAGGUUUUCAUGGCUAUUUCAUGCUUUUAAGUUUGAUUCUUCUAUGGGAAAGCUUGGUAAAAGUGAAUUGAAACUAGAAUCGUCAAUUCACUUCCUUCUCCCAUUCAAAGGAAAGAGAUAAUUUCUCUUUUCUCUUGAUCUGUUAUAAGAAUCCAAGUAUGUCUAGGCAUUUUAGAUUGUUGGUCUUUGAUUGCAUGUAUGUUUAGAGGAGUUUUGGAGCAUGUCUAAGUUGAGAAUGGGUUGGCAUGUUAUGUUCUUGAUGUUUUAUGGAUAAAUGUGAUGUAUGAAGCUAGUGAAACUUUGGAUUCUAACUUUUAGUGUUUGCAUGUGAGUUUAAACUUGAUUUCAAGUUCCCUUAGGCCUUAAAUGGCAAGUUUCUUUUGCUGGAUUCAAGAAUUUCCUGAUGAUGUUAUGUUGAAGUUUGAUUGAAUCUUGAAUUCAAGUUCAAUUUGGCUUUUGCAUGUGUGUUUGGAGCUUAUUUCCAAGUUGUUUUUGGCCCUGGACUUGAGUUGGAAUGUUUGGAUCAUGUUUUGGAAGCUUGAAAUGCAUUUUUGGGUUUUUGGAAAGAAAAGUUCUGUUGGUUUUUUGACUUGGAAAUUCUAAAAAUUCCUAAGUUCGGCUGCUGAAAACUAUUGUUUCAGCAGCCAAAGCACUUAUCAGGAAAAUCUAAAAAAUUUUCGGGUUCAGCAGCCGAAGUCCAAGACUUCAACAGCCGC